rnacentral:tRNA from 1 species
GGGCUGGUAGCUCAGUUGGGAGAGCACCUGCUUCGCAAGUAGGAGGUCGCGCGUUCAAAUCGCGUCCGGUCCACCA